rnacentral:rRNA from 1 species
CACGUAGGAGGCGAGCGUUGUCCGGAAUCAUUGGGCGUAAAGAGCGCGCAGGCGGCUUGGCAAGUCGGGUGUGAAAUCCCGGGGCUCAACCCCGUGACUGCAUCCGAUACUGUCAGGCUAGAGGUAGGUAGGGGAGAUCGGAAUUCCAGGUGUAGCGGUGAAAUGCGUAGAUAUCUGGAGGAACACCGGUGGCGAAGGCGGCAUCCUGGACCGAGAUUGACGCUGAGGCGCGAAAGCUAGGGGAGCAAACGGG